CAGGCAUUGACCCCUGACACCUUUACCUUCGUCCAGCGAAGCCCUCAGACUUCUGCCUCCUGACGUGAAAGAUGCUGAAUGUGAAACAAAAGGAGUCUCUGGUACCAAAGCCCACGUGGCUUGUCUGAGGAUGCUUCGGCCUGUCAGUCCAAUGCAACCCCAGUACAGAUGCUAGCUGCAGAGGAAGCGGUCAUCUGAGUCACCUGCUUCAGAGAACAACCCCUCUCAUCCCCAGCGAUUGCUGUGAUGGUGUUGGAGUUUGGCAUACAGCAGUCAUUGGCUGCCCCCAACUACCAUCCCCGGACUGAGGUUCGACACAGGGGCUUAAGUGUCAUGUGUAUUAUUUUGCUGAAAAUACAUUCCAGGAUUGCUCUGACCCUGGUGGCCUUGUUACUGCAAGAUGGUGCUUCUGCCCUCUACUGGUAGAGGAAGAUAACACCAACCACAGAGCAAAGACGCUGGCCAGCUUCACUGGAGCUGAAGAGGCUGCCACUACCAUGAGUUCCUAGGAAGACUGCCUAGCCUGGUGACCCUAAAGUGACAGUGCUGUUAAUGCAAGUUAGUUCUAGACAUGAUUUGCAUCUCCCCUGCCAUUUAAAAUAUUUUUAUUACAUUUGUUGUGUAUAUAUGUAAGGAAGCACACCACAGUGUGUAUGUAGGUUGGAGGGCAACUUGUGGGAAUUAGUUCUCUCUGUCCACUAUGUGGGUCCUGGGUGCGAAGCUCAGGUUGUCGGCAAGCACCUUCACCUAUCGAGCCAUUUUUAUGUGGGAUUGUAACGAUCUGAGAUGUGUUAAUUUGCUCGACUGUAUGUUGAACUUUAUUGGGCUGUUUGUUUUUCUGUGUACUGUGGACAUUUUUACUUCAUAUACUGAACACUUUUAGGAAUACAUUUGCUGUGCCAAUUCAAAUUAUGUUUUUCUGAUUUGUUUUAUAUUAUGGAUUACUUUUUAUUUGACAACCUCUGUAUUCCUCAUAUGAGCUUUCAUUAUCAGCUCAUAUUAAUUAUACAUGCGAUGGAUUUUAUGUGACUUUUUUGUGUAUAAGCUCAGAUUAUAUUUCCUCAUUACCUAUGCUGUCCC
rnacentral:lncRNA from 1 species